CGUCCUUGUUGUCACCUUGGAUCUGUCGAGGAUCAUCCACCGAGCUCCUGACUACAAGUUUAAAAAGGGGAAUCCUCACAAUCCAAAGAUCGAAAAGCAUUUGCUUUUGCCCGAACUGCUUGCUUGGGUGAAAGACGUUCGAGCCGAUCCUUUGGGCUCUAGAAACCCAGAGGACAUUGUUCCUUUGAGGGUCGUGCCUCAUCUUUUUGUGACGGCUUCGGGUCUGGGACUUGCGUUCGACGAUGUGACGCGUGCUUUUCCUUCUGCCUCGACUCCUGCUCAGUUAGAUCCCUCGCUUACCACCACUCAGGAGGAUAAAAACAGGUUGAAGAGGAACCUUUUGUUGAGGGAAGACCUGAUCUGAAGCAGAGGCAAAGGAGGAAGACUUCUCAUCCGAAGGUAAAACCUGACCUUAAGAUGCUUGAGUUUUUAAGGCAACGACAUUUCCUUUCUGAGGCUAUGAUUCGACAGGUUGUUGUCG